UUGCUUCUCUUGAGAGCGGCGGACGGGUGAGUAAUGCCUAGGAAUCUGCCUGGUAGUGGGGGAUAACGUCCGGAAACGGACGCUAAUACCGCAUACGUCCUACGGGAGAAAGCAGGGGACCUUCGGGCCUUGCGCUAUCAGAUGAGCCUAGGUCGGAUUAGCUAGUUGGUGGGGUAAUGGCUCACCAAGGCGACGAUCCGUAACUGGUCUGAGAGGAUGAUCAGUCACACUGGAACUGAGACACGGUCCAGACUCCUACGGGAGGCAGCAGUGGGGAAUAUUGGACAAUGGGCGAAAGCCUGAUCCAGCCAUGCCGCGUGUGUGAAGAAGGUCUUCGGAUUGUAAAGCACUUUAAGUUGGGAGGAAGGGCAGUAAAUUAAUACUUUGCUGUUUUGACGUUACCGACAGAAUAAGCACCGGCUAACUCUGUGCCAGCAGCCGCGGUAAUACAGAGGGUGCAAGCGUUAAUCGGAAUUACUGGGCGUAAAGCGCGCGUAGGUGGUUCGUUAAGUUGGAUGUGAAAUCCCCGGGCUCAACCUGGGAACUGCAUUCAAAACUGACGAGCUAGAGUAUGGUAGAGGGUGGUGGAAUUUCCUGUGUAGCGGUGAAAUGCGUAGAUAUAGGAAGGAACACCAGUGGCGAAGGCGACCACCUGGACUGAUACUGACACUGAGGUGCGAAAGCGUG
rnacentral:rRNA from 1 species